AUACGUAUUAUACACUCAGUAUUUUUUAAACAGUGGGUGUGGAACAGGAGAGAGGGGACGUUUAAAGCCAUCUUCCUACCUGACAUUAGCUUUAGUUAUACAUUUAGUAAAGAGUUUGAAACCAUUAGCUUAAAAGGGCUACUAGAAAGUCUGUAGCUUUUUUUGGUUUUGUUUUGUUUUUUCCCACCUUUUAGGGCCACACCACAGCAUAUGGAGUUUUCCAGGCUAGGGGGCGAAUUGGAGCUACAGUUGCCGGCCUACACCACAGCCACAGCAACGACAGAUCCAAGCCGCGUUUGUAACCUACACCACAGUUCGAUCCAUGGCCUUGCUCAGUGGGUUGGGGAUCCGGCGUUGCAGUGAGCUGUGGUGUAGGUCGCAGACUCAGCUUGGAUCCCGCGUUGCUGUGGCUGUGGCGUAGGCCGGCGGCUACAGCUCUGAUUAGACCCCUAGCCUGGGGACCUCCAUAGGCCGCAGGAGCGGCCCUAGAAAAGGCAAAAACCAAAACCAACCAAACAAACAAAAAACCAAAAGGGUCCAUCCAUGCAAGUAUCUAGGAGCAGUACAUCUGGUCCAGAGUCAACAGGAAGGGCAAAGACCCUGGGCUUGGCAUUUUGCCAGGGACAGGAACUGGUCAUUGUAGGAGCAAUAGGAGCAGACGCUAAAGAGGUAGGCGGGGGCCAGCUCAACGUGGGUUUUGAAGGUCCUGAUAAGGAUUGUGGAGAUUUAUUUUAUUUGCAUUAGGAACACAUAGAACUCACUGCAGAGUUUUGAAAAGGGAAGUGACAUCAUCUGAUGUGUAUUUAAGGUGAUCAUUUUGAUUGUUGUAUAGAAAAUUGAGCAAGAGUAGUAAUAGGAUGCCUAGUUAGAAAGGAUGCUAGCGGGCUUUGGGGGUGUCAGUGGAGCAUAGAAAGGUGGGUGGGUUUGGGAUAUAUUUGGAAGGUAUAUCUGAUAAAUUUGAUAUGGGUCACUGAAAGGGGAAGAAUCAAGAAUGACUGCAGGAAAAUAGUGUGGUGGUUCCUCAGAAAACUAAAUGAAGGACUACCAUAUGAUCCAUAUGGGCAUGUAUCAGAAGAAAACUUUCAUUAAGAAAGAUAUAUGUGGGAGUUCCCUUGGUGGCUCAGUGGUUAACGAACCCAACUAGGAUCCAUGAGGAAGUGGAUUUGAUCCCUUGCCUCACUUGGUGGUUAAGGAUCCGGCGUUGCCGUGAGUUGUAGUGUAGGUUGCAGAUGCUGCUCUGAUCCUGUGUUGCUGUGGCUGUGGCGGAGGCUGGCAGCUGUAGCUCUGAUUCGACCCCUAGCCUGGGAACUUCCAUAUGCUGUGGGUGUGGCCCUGAAAAGCAAAAAAAAAAAAAAAAAAAAAAAAGAUAUACGCACCCCUAUGUUUACUGCAGCACUGUUCGCAAUAGCCAAGACAUGGAAACAACCUAAAUAUCCAUUGACAGAUGAAUGGAUUAAGAAGAUGUAGUACAUAUCCGCAAUGGAAUACUACUCAGCCAUAAAAAGGAACAAAGUAAGGCCAUUUAUAGCAACAUGGAUGCAACUAGAGAUUCUCAUACUAAGUGAAGUAAGUCAGAAAGAGAAAGACACAUACCCUAUGAUGUCAUUCAUCUGGAAUCUAACAUAUGGCAAAAAUGUACCUAUCUACAAAACAGAAACAGACUCAUGGACAUAGAGAACAGAAUUGUGGUUGCCAAGGGGAAGUGGGGAAGAAGUGGGAGGAACUGGGAGUUUGGAGUUGGUAGAUGCAGACACAUUUAGAAUGCAAAAGCGAUGAGGUCAUACUCUACAGCACAGGGAGCUAUAUCCAGUCUCUUGGGGUAGACGUAAUGGAACACAGUAUGAAAAAAAUAAUGUGUAUAUAUUACUGGGUCACUUAACUGUACAGCAAAAAUUGACUCAACACUGUAAAUCAGUCAUACCCUAAUAAAAAUAAAUUAAUUAAAAAAAGAAUCAUUCUGGGUUUUGGCUUGAAUAACUAGGAGGAUAAUACUGAUUACUAAGCUGGAAACUAUGAUGAGUGGUACAGAGUUGAGGGCUGUGCUCAAAGUUUUCUGACCUCCUUAUCUGGGAGAUGCCUAUUAUGUAUCUGGUUAAGUGAACCUGGAGGUUAGUGGGGACAUAGUAUAUGGGUGAGAAUAUAAACAAUAGCAUUCUUCUUUUGUUUAAUGACAAUACCAAUUACAAAUUACACUGAGAUACUUUUCUCUGUUUAUUGAGCCUUGCUUGCUGUCAUCCUUCAGUAAUGAGAUACUUAAAAGGCAUAAUAUACUACAUACCUGUUUGGAAUACCAUAUGCCCCCUUGAUAAAAUCAGUGCAGGAAAAAAAAUUAAUUUAAGCAUAUGCUAGAUAUUAUUCACAUUUGGAAGACUAAUUUCGUUAUUUCGAAAGACUUAGCAAUAAACUCUAUACUUCUUGUCAUUCGUCUUGAAAAAAAUAAUAGUAUACAUUAUUUUUUCAGGUGUAUUUAAUCUUUGUACAGAAACAGAGAUUCUGGCUUUUCCUAGUAAGAUUUCAUAUUUAGUUUUCACCAUAAGGCUAAAUUUCCUGACAUGAAAUAAUUAGUUAGAAUCAGCGAAACUUAAAUGGGUGAACCAGAAUUUCUUUCCUUGCAUUGACCUUUGAGCUACCUGGGCUAUAAAUGUAUUCGCUCAUAGUCCAGAAUGCCAGAAACAUUCAAUUCCAAAAACACCUACCAGCGGUUAAAAAUAAACAACAUAGAGAAGGGCAGAAAUGGGUUUUUCAAUGUCCAAAGAAAUUAAGGUGCCUAUGUUGCUUUGUGCUUACGAGUUAAGGUCAAGCCUGAUUUAGUUUUUCUAACAAGUAGCCACUCCUGAUCCUCAAACUAAAGAGAUCCUUUCACAUCCUGACCUUAAUUUCUGGAGGACCCAGGUAGGAUUCCCCUCAUGGGUGCAUUGUGUGUCAAGAUGUACAUUCUUGCAUCACUGGAAACAACCAUCAGUGCCAGUCACAUCCUAGGACGAUUUUCUUGCCAUUUCCAAGGCAGUCACUAGUCUAUUUCUGAGGCUGCCCCAGUGUGAGUCUGGGCCUACUCAAUGCCUGGGCUGGGUGCUCAAGUGGUUGCAACCAGAACUAGAAGAAACCUCAGAAAUUACCUAACACUUCAUCCUUUCAUCCAUUCAUUCUCUUGAAACAUGUUGCACAUCUGCUCUGUACCCAGGACUGUGCCAGAGACCACCGAUCCAAACACCAAGAUAAGACAUGUCACUUGUGCUAUCUACGUCCCCAUUUCAAAGGAGAGAUUUAACAAAGGACCUUUGUAAUGCAACAGGAACAGUACUAGAUGAUUUGACAAUGGUACCCUAGUCGGCAUACUCUAAUAUAGCCGUGUUAGGAGCGCAUCCCAAAUCCAGUGGUUUGCAAAACAAUCUUUUCUAUUCUCCCGCUGACUGGUCUGCAGGGAGUUUGCACUGGGGUAACUAAGGUUGAGCCCCAGCUGGCAGCUCUGCUUCAGGCUGUGGAAGCAGGUGGGCUUGGCUGUAGCAGUGGGCCUAGGUCUGCUCUGUGUCUCUCAUUCAAGUCUGUCUCCCCUUAAAGGGGCAGUGGCUUACUGGCUGGGUUCUCUUGGAGCAUCAUGGGAGGUCAUGACAAUAAGCCUAAAUUUGUGCUUUUUAAUGCCUCCACUCACAUCCCUGUCUUCUCCAUGCGCUGUGAGCCCAUCAGGACCAGAGGCACCUGUAUUUCCCCUACAUAGCAGCUCUUCCACUCUCGGUGAGUCAGGUUAAGAAAUCUUGUCUCUUCCGUCGUCCUUCAAUCAAUUAUUCAUUCAUCCAUUUAUUCACUCUUCGUUCCAUCUUUCAUCUGCUCAUCAGACAUUGGGCAUAUAACAUGUUGGCCCAGCUGAGGAUACAAAGGUGAAAAAGAACCACUGGCCUCAAGCUUUUUUGAACUAAGGGAAUUUGAAAACAAAUGCAUCAUUGUAUAACUACAAAUGUAAUAAAUUCAUUGAGUAAUAAAAAAAA
rnacentral:lncRNA from 1 species